CUGACACAGGGAGGUAGUGACAAGAAAUAACAAUACAGGGCAAUUCUGUCUUGUAAUUGGAAUGAAUAGAAUUUAAAUCCCUUUAUGAGUAUCGAUUGGAGGGCAAGUCUGGUGCCAGCAGCCGCGGUAAUUCCAGCUCCAAUAGCGUAUAUUAAAGUUGUUGCGGUUAAAAAGCUCGUAGUUGGAUUUCUGCUGAGGACGAUCGGUCCGCCCUCUGGGUGAGCAUCUGGCUCGGCCUUGGCAUCUUCUUGGAGAACGCCACUGCACUUGACUGUGUGGUGCGGUAUCCAGGACUUUUACUUUGAGGAAAUUAGAGUGUUUCAAGCAGGCAUACGCCUUGAAUACAUUAGCAUGGAAUAAUGGGAUAGGACCUUGGUUCUAUUUUGUUGGUUUCUAGAGCUGAGGUAAUGAUUAAUAGGGAUAGUUGGGGGCAUUCGUAUUUAACUGUCAGAGGUGAAAUUCUUGGA
rnacentral:rRNA from 1 species